GGUUGAAAAUUCCGAUGGUUAGAGAUGGGCAUGCGUUGUAUUAGCUAGUUGGUGGGGUAACGGCUCACCAAGGCGACGAUACAUAGGGGGACUGAGAGGUUAACCCCCCACACUGGUACUGAGACACGGACCAGACUCCUACGGGAGGCAGCAGUGAGGAAUAUUGGUCAAUGGACGCAAGUCUGAACCAGCCAUGCCGCGUGCAGGAUGACGGCUCUAUGAGUUGUAAACUGCUUUUGUACGAGGGUAAACGCAGAUACGUGUAUCUGUCUGAAAGUAUCGUACGAAUAAGGAUCGGCUAACUCCGUGCCAGCAGCCGCGGUAAUACGGAGGAUUCAAGCGUUAUCCGGAUUUAUUGGGUUUAAAGGGUGCGUAGGCGGUUUGAUAAGUUAGAGGUGAAAUUUCGGGGCUCAACCCUGAACGUGCCUCUAAUACUGUUGAGCUAGAGAGUAGUUGCGGUAGGCGGAAUGUAUGGUGUAGCGGUGAAAUGCUUAGAGAUCAUACAGAACACCGAUUGCGAAGGCAGCUUACCAAACUAUAUCUGACGUUGAGGCACGAAAGCGUGGGGAGCAAACAGGAUUAGAUACCCUGGUAGUCCACGCAGUAAACGAUGAUAACUCGUUGUCGGCGAUACACAGUCGGUGACUAAGCGAAAGCGAUAAGUUAUCCACCUGGGGAGUA
rnacentral:rRNA from 1 species